rnacentral:rRNA from 1 species
GUCCACGCCGUAAACGAUGGGCACUAGGUGCUUGGGGGAGCGACCCCCUGAGUGCCGACGCUAACGCAUUAAGUGCCCCGCCUGGGGAGUACGACCGCAAGGUUGAAACUCAAAGGAAUUGACGGGGGCCCGCACAAGCGGUGGAGCAUGUGGUUUAAUUCGACGCAACGCGAAGAACCUUACCCAGGCUUGACAUGGCCGUGAACUCGUGGGGAAACCUGCGGGGCUCUUCGGAGCGCGGUCACAGGUGCUGCAUGGCUGUCGU